CGCCUGUUUAUCAAAAACAUCGCCUCUUGGAUAAAAUAAGAGGUCCAGCCUGCCCAGUGAAAUUAUUUAACGGCCGCGGUAUCCUAACCGUGCGAAGGUAGCGUAAUCACUUGUUCUUUAAAUGAGGACUAGUAUGAAUGGCACCACGAGGGUUCUACUGUCUCCUUUUUUUAAUCAGUGAAACUAAUCUCCCCGUGAAGAAGCGGGGAUUUUUUUAUAAGACGAGAAGACCCUAUGGAGCUUUAAACAAACAUCAUUUGCUGCACAUAACUCUUUUACCUUCAUUAAAUAUAGCAUUAUGACCUUAAGUUUUUGAUUGGGGUGAUCACGGAGUAAAAUGAAACCUCCACGCCGAAAGGGUUUAUACCCUGAGCAAAAAGCCACAACUUUAAGCACUAAAAAAUUAACGUAAUUUGACCCAACAUUUUGAUCAACGAACCAAGUUACCCUAGGGAUAACAGCGCAAUCCACUUCAAGAGCUCCUAUCGACAAGUGGGUUUACGACCUCGAUGUUGGAUCAGGGUAUCCUAGUGGUGCAGCCGCUACUAAUGGUUCGUUUGUUCAAACGAUUAAAACCCUACGUGAUCUGAGUUCAGACCGGA
rnacentral:rRNA from 1 species